rnacentral:lncRNA from 1 species
AAAAGUAAAAUCGAAAUGCAAUAAUAGAAGUGAAAAAAUCAAGAUUUGAUAAUGUUGAAUAGAAAUUAAAAUGAAAAAACAAGAUUACAAAUGAAACUAGAAAACAAGUAGAAACCAAUAGGGACAAUGCAGGGUUGAAAACAAUGGUGCAAAUAGCUUAUUGAUGGGUUAUGAAGCCCAAAGUCCAAGCAAGACUAAUGGCCAGGAGGUAUGUGCAUAUGUAUGGUGUGGAAAGCAUGUUUGGAUGGGCCUUGCUCAAGCGUUACAGAUGCAAACACGGAAGGACUCAAACAUAGAAGCAUCAUAUGAGGAUACCUCAACCUCACGUGGCUGUCCCCCUCUUUCAUGCUUUCAAGUUCUUCGUCUAAACCACAACAACUCCGUCGCGCCGGAGCUCAUCACCAGCGGCGACGGAGCAUGAAACCACAUCAAACCUACACCGUUCCACUCGUUUCGUCAUCCUCUAUUCAAAUUCCUAGUCAAUUUUGCACGAUUAUGGCUAAAAGUCCAAAUCGAGCCUUUCUAACUAUGAACCCUAAGUUAUAACAUCAUAAAUUAAAUCCUCCGUUGGAGGAAUCAAAGUCCCUAGGGUUAGGGCUUUGAUUCCUUAAGUACUAAUAUACAUACCGGUAAGCGAUUUAAAGCAGAACUAAGCAUAAUUUGGACUUACCUGCCAGAGAAGAUGAAGAUGACAACGGCGACGAAGACGCAUAAGUACGAUACUCUAUUCCUUCCUUGUUACUCUUCUUUUGCUGCUUCCCUCAUACUACUAUGAAUAUUGCGAAUCGUUCUGAGUCUUGGUGAGUGAAGAGAGAAGUUGAAGGAGUGUGAUUCUGAGGGAGAGUGAUCAAGAGAGAGUGAAUGUGAGCUGAAUUCAAAUUCUAUUGAGAGAAAUUCAGAGGUAUUCAGAGAGGGAUCGAGACAGAAUCCAGAAGUGUGAGCAAUGUGAAAUUUGGUGAAAAAUGAAUCGCCAAGAAGAGCCAAUGAUUGGGAAAAUGAUGAUUUAUGUAAGGGUGAGGCUUGAGAGGGUAGAUUAGGGAAUUUAAUCUGAGUUAGUUAGAUUCUGGUGAUGAGCUGGAAAUUCUAUUAAUGAAUUCAUUGAGCAAUUCGGAAACUAAUUGUGAAUCUGGAAAUUGAGGUGCUGCUGUGAGUUUAGCUUGAAUUUGUUUCACGUGAAAAAUUUGUGGUAAUUUGAAUAUGAGUUCAGCUGAGCUGGAAAUGAUUGAUGGUCUAAAUUAUGUUAAUAGUUUUUCCCUGCUAUAUUCUACUAAAACAAUUUUGUUAGAAACUAGUGAUGCAAUUAGUAUUACGUCUGAUCAUACUGUUAAAGAUUGUUAAUGAUGUGAAACUGUUAAUCUGGUCUGUUAGGAUUGUGAGGCAAUUAAUUUGAAACUUACUUGACUGCUAUGUUUAUGUACUGUUAUGAACGAAUUUGUUGGCUAUUGAAUUAUUGUGCAGGUGUAACCGGUUACCACUAUGAAAGUUGGUGCUCUAGACUGCAAUAAGGGGCCACGUGAAGCAGGUGUAACCGGUUACCCACAUGAAGGUUGGUGGUUCCUGGGUGCAAACAAGGUUAUGUGAAGCAGGUGUAACCGGUUACCGUAACCAGUUACCAACACAAUAAUGAGGGUUCUGGGUUACAUGAUGAGCCUGUGUGCAGCUGGCGUAACCGGUUACCAUACAAAAAAUGGUGUUUUGGGGUUCAACUUUAUGCUAACUUGAAGGUGCAUCAUGGAGAACGGAAUGGUAGCUGCAAAGUUCAAAGUUCCUUUCAUUUGGCACUUGAUUUAAGCUAUGUAUGGUGAUUCUAUGUAUUUAUUAAGUAACAUGAGAAUGUAAAUGCAAAUGCAAAUGCAAACUAUGCUUAUGUAAUGAACAUUAAUCAAUUCAAUUUUAUGAUUCAAGAUUAAAUCAAAUUUCUCUCUUUUUGUAUGAAAUGUAUGAAAAACUCUAAUGAAAUGCAAGUUUCUAUAGUAGAAUGUAAAUUGUUUCCACUUUAAAUCGAAUCUAAAAUUCCCUUUUAUUAAUGCAAUGCAAUGAAAAAUUGAUAAGUGACAAUGGACCAAUGAAAUGGAUUAACAUGUAGACUAUAAAUGAAGCUUAAGACAAUCAACAACUGAUUUGUUGACUUUGGUCAACUAGUUGACUAAAAAGUCAAUAGUUGACCAAAAGUUAACUUAGGAAAAAAUGAUGUUAUUCAAUGCGUCAUGCUUGUGAUGAAUCUUAAAAUGAAAUGCAAUGGGUGAAUGGAUCAAAAUAACAAACAAAACUAUGAGUGGAUGCCAACCAUCAAGAGUCAAUGCAAUAGCUAUCCCAACACAUAACCAUGUAAUGAACCACAUGAUCACCAAAUGAACCUCACCUUGACUAAAGAAUCUUGAUGGAUCUAAAACCAAAGAUGCAGGAUAUCCAGGAUCCACAAUGUAAAAGGCAAUGGGGAUCAGGGUUUUGUGCUCGGUUGAGCACCCCUCAAGAUAAUGUCAAGAAAACCUAGUUUACCCAAGUACCUAUACCACGCCUUGAGUCCAUGUAGCAUUAUUUCUUGUUAUGAAUCAUUCUAAUGCAAAUGUAGUGAUGAAAUGGUGAACGCAUGCACAUGUAUUAAGGCCAUGGACUAGAUGAAGGUUGUAUGGAAGGUAAGGUAAAUUUUGGGGUAUGACACAUAUAACAUUGAAGAAUAAGCACAAUCUGGUUAUAGUUACCCUUACAUUCCUUGGUAAAAUGUCACGAAUAGCCACUGGUAGAAGUUGUUACAUUAAGACAUGACAAUCAUGCGAUUUUAAGCCAACAAAUUUGUGAUCAUUCUCUGACACAAGUUCCUUCAUAUUUGAUGAGUACCCUUGGGGAACUUUGAUACCAUGCAAACAAUCACACAAACUUUUUAUUUUAUUUUUUAGACAGAAUGUGACAAGCUGGGGGAAAAUAUGUUUUAUUUGCUAUUUCUUUUAGGGCUAACUCUUGUCGUAUACCCAUCACCACCAUAUCUUCACCUAAUUUUUUAGUAUCUUUUGUCUUGUCUUUAAUGUUGAGAAGUGUUCCAAUAAAAUUAUCACAUACAUUUUUUUCCAGAUUUAUCAUAUCAAGAUAAUGUCUUACAUAAAGACUAGACCAAUAUGGAAGAUCAAAGAACACCAACCUCUUUUUCCAACUAUUUUUCUCCACGGGCCCUUAUUGUUUACUUUUUAGUUUCUUUCCAAAGAAAUCCUUAAUGUGCUGUUGUCUUUUAUAAACUUCCUUCCCAGUUAAGGGUUUGGGAGCGCAAUCAAACUCAUGCUUUCCAUUAAAAGCCUUCUAAAAUGUACGGUAUGGAUGAUUAGGUCUUUUAUAAACUUCCUUCCCAGUUAAGGGUUUGGGAGCGAAAUCAAACUCAUGCUUUCCAUUAAAAGCCUUCUAAAAUGUAAGGUAUGUAGGACAUGCUUUAUGCCCACAUUGACGCUAUACCCAGACAAAUCAUUAUAGAAAGAAAGUCAUUGAUUAUGAAAAACAACAUGGCAUGCAAUUUAAAGUUAUAACAUGUAUACACAUCAUCAACACUAACUCCUUCCUCCCACAAAAGUCUUAAAUCUUCAAUCAAUGGAGUUAAAUAAACAUUUAUGUUGUUCCCUGGUUGUUUUGGACCUACAAUCAUCAUUGAUAACAUCAUAUAUUUGCGCUUCAUACACAACCAUGGAGAUUUGUUAUAAAUUAUGAGAAGAACAUGCCAUGACAUAUGGUUAGUACUCAAAUUACCAAAAGGGUUCAUUAUGUCGGUGGAAAGUCCAAGCCUAAGGUUCCUCGAUUCUAAUGUAAAAUCUGGAAAUAAGGAAUCAAUUUUUUUCCAUCACACACUUUUCCAUCUGCAUGCCAUCUAGUAUUCUUUGCAUCAUUUUUAUUAGCAAACAACCUCUUGAACUUUUAAAUUAUCAGUAGGUACCAUAUCACCUUGGAAGGAACACCCUUUCUUGUUACACAAUCAUCGUCUUCAACACCAUUGGCCUUCUUCUUGUAGCAUGACUGCCCACAUAUUGGGCACUCCUUCAAGCUUUCAUAUUAUUUCCUAUAUAAUAUGAAAUCAUUAUGACAUUCGUGUAUUUUGAAAUAAUCCAAACUCAUUGGACACAAUAUCUUCUUGGCCUCAUAACUAUGGUUCGACAAAAUGUUACCUUCUGGAAGCAUUUCUUACAACAAUCCAAGCAACUCAGUGAAACUUUUAUCCAUCCAUCCACCUCUCACCUUAAGAUUAAAUAGUCUUAACACAAUUGACAAUCUUGUAAAACUUUUGCAUCCCAUAUACAACGACUCUUCCAUGUCAUUUUGUAAAGUAUCUACCAUAUUAGCAUUCUCGAAAGAAUUUAUCCCAAUAUCGUGAAUCAUGUCUUCUAGAGUAUCAUUCAUAAUUUCACCAUCAUCUUCAACUGUAGGUGAAAAGGUAUUUUUUUUGUAACUUCGUCAUGCUAUACCCAUUUCGUGUAGUUUUAAAUAAUUCCAUCACAACCUAAAUGAUUGAAUAUUUCAUCCCUUGAAUGUUUGGGCAUAUUUCAAAAAUCAAGAAAUUGAAUCACCCCAUUCUCAUACUUUUCACUUAAUCUAUUAGCUUUCAUCUAACUAUGAUGCAUAAUCACAUAUAAUUUCUGAAAAUAAAAUAAAAAUAGUACACAACCAACAAUAACUACCAUUACAACAACAAAUACCAUUACAACAUUAUAGUAAACAAUAUAAGUCUCAAAAACCCUACAACAACAACCACAUAUGGCAACAACAUCAAUGAAGAAACAACAACAACGAAGACAACAAAAGCAACAACAACAACGAUGAUGACCUACGACUACAACAUCAACGACGGAAACAAAACAACAAUAAUGGAUAAUUUUUACAUAUCGGAAAUGUGAUGAGAGACUCAACGGAGAAAAAAUCUAGCUAACUUCCUCCUCGAAGAAGAAGGGUAGUGGUUCUAAUUAUUGGGAAACUCCUUCGUUCGCUGGAGAAGAAUGAGCUCCUUUCUUUCGCUAGGGUGCAAAAGGUUAAUGAGACAAAAUAUUAUAAUUCUAAAGUAAAAAAAAAAUUAGAUUUUUUAUCUUGGUUUUCUUUACAACUGAGGGAUAAUAUCUAACAUAAAAUGUAUAAAAAAUAAAGACGCAUUUUUAGUUGUAAAUAAAACAUAAAAUUGCAGGAGCUGGGAGUCAAAACUCGAACACUAAACAUCAAUUUACGUUAGUUUUCCUAGAAAACCGAGGUUAAAGAUAAGGUUUAUUAAAAAUAAAUAAUAUAUAGCGUGUUCUAGGUCAUUUGACCUCGGUUUUUCAAUAACUAAGGUGAAAGUUUUGUCAUGAAAUAUAUUAUUUAUAGUACUGCAGUUGAUAAAGUGGCUAGAAACUUAGAUCAAUCCAUAAGAAAUGCAGUAUCUUCUGACUAAUAUUGACAUUUUUGCAAUGGUUGGGAUGAGGUUUACACCAUGCUUCCAACUUUGUUGUUGUUAGAAUAUCUGGAUUAACCUUAAUCCACCACUUAAUAGAAAAUUUCUUAAUCAAUUGAGAAGUUAGAAAAUCUUGCCAUAACUGAUCAGAUGAAAAGGUCCAUGAGGUAAUCUAAACAAUCCCAAAAACAACACAAAAAAACAAUAAAGCCUUGUGCGAAGGACAAGUAGUAGGUGAGGUAAAGUUAUUGAAGGCUUUAGAAGUAUAAUCUGGGAAAAUAUUUAAGUUGGAUCAAUAAGCUGAAACCAUUAGAUAAACCAAUAGGGAAAGUUUAAUGAAAUAUAUUUAUUAAACAAAAUAAACCAAGUGUGGUUAAAUGGUUCAAUUUAUAAGAAAUUAGACAAGACAUCCAUGUAAUCCAGAUAAUUGUAUGUUUGAAGAGAGUAAGACAUUGAAAAUGAUUUUCUUUUUGAAGGGGGUUGCUUCCAAUCUGAUGGAGAUAAAACUUUAAUAAUUUUGAAUUUGAAGAACUUAAUUUUUUAUUUAUCAUUCUCAUCAUAUUGAUGAGUAAUAGAAAUAUAAUCAAUAUCAACCAAAAUAAAUUCAUAAUAUUCUCGGGUUUUUAAUAAGUCUUUUGGUAAAAAAAUCUAUCAACGAGGAAAAAUUCUUGAAAUAAUUUGUAAUAAUAAUGCAUCUGAAAGACAGUACAUAGGCUCUAAAGGGAUAAUCGGUUCUUACAGAAUUUUGGUAAUGAAAUAAGAUUUUGUAAAAGAUGGAGGAGUGUAAAAAUGUAAUUUUGAAGUAGGUUUAAUUUGAGAAGAUGAGGAAGUAGUACUUAUCUGUGUAAAAGAUAAUAUAGAUAAUAAUGUAGGCCUAAUCACAUGUCGGGGGGAAGAAGGUAUUUGAGAAGUAAUUUUUAUAAUAUAUGAAGGUGAUCCUAAAACUAUGGGUUUAUUAUUUGAUGAUAAUGGAGGUCCAUAAUUAUCUUUGGGAUCACUCUGUUUCUUUCUCAUUUUUACCCUGUAAAAUUCUCGAGUUAAAAAAUCUAGUAAAUAAUUUUUAAUUCUUUCAAUAGUUUUAUUUCAAAAUCAAAACAGGAUAACAAAGAUUGUCAUCUAGCAAAGUAUAUGUUUUGAAACAAAUUUUUUAACAUCCUUCUUUAAAACACUCUUAGAAGCUUUGCAAUCUGUUUUUAAUAAAAUGAUUUUGAAAACAAAUCAUCUUGAAAUUUUGCAAUGCAUAACACAAUGACCAAAAUCUUUUUUUUUAAUAGUACUAUAAUUUGAUUGGGCCGGAGACCAAGUUCUAGAGUAAUAUUUAACAACUUGUUCCUUAUUCGUGCCGAUUAAGUAAUUAUUUUAAUACCCCACCAAACCCUAGGUCUAAGGCAUCUAUUUCAACAAUAAGAUUAACUUGUGGAACAGGGAUUCCCAUACAAGAUAAUCUCUUAACUAUCUACUUUAAUUGGGUGACACUUUUGAUCAUCGAAUCAUACCAAGGCGGGGGAUCCUUUUUAAGUAUAUUAAAUAAAUGAAUACAAAUAUUUAUAAGAUUAAGUAUAAAGUCUGACACAUAAUUAAGACAAUCUAAAAACCCUUGUAACUAAGUUAUAUCUUUUAAUUCGUCGGAGAAUUUUCUAACAAACUCUAAAGAUCUAAUAAUAGGGGUGUACACGCCCCGACUAAUAUCAAAAUCCAAAGUUUUUACUUUACUUUGAAAUAAGUUUUAUUUCAUUUUGGAUAAAACUAAACCAUUAUCUUUAAUUAUUUCAAAGAAUUGAUUCAGGUGUUAUGAAUGUUUAUUAAUAGAAUCUGAAAAAACUAGAAUAUCCUCUAAGUAGACUAUAGUAAAGUGGGAGUCAUUAUUAAAAAUAUAAUUCAUUAUAUUAUGAGGGGGGAUUUUUAAGCCCUAAGGGAAAAACAUUUCAUUCAUAUUGCCCAAAGGAUACAAAAGCGGUUUUAUAUUUAUCGAUUUCUUCUAAUUAAAUUUGAUAAUAUCCAAAUUUAAGAUCAAAUUUAGAAAAUAUACUUUUAUGGUGUAAUCUGUUAAUUAAAUCUUUUUUUAAGGUAUAGAAUACCUAAUCCAUUGUAAAGUUUUAUUUAAAUGUUUAUAGUUCAUUACUAAUCGGGGACUACAUCUUUCUAAUUCAGUAUCAUUAAUAACAUAAAAUGCAUAGCAACUCUAGGGAGACUUAGUCGGCCUAAUCAAACGUUUUUUAAAUAAUAUUGUAUUUCUUUAUUACAAUAAUCUAAAUGAUGCUUAGUCAUCUAUAUAGGUCUGACUUUUGUCAAAAUAUAUUUUUCUUUAAAGUCAGCUCAUAAAGACAAGAAAUAGUGUGUAUCUUCCUUUUUCAUAAGGUAUUAGGAAGACUAUAAUUGUUCUUCUAUUAUUUUAAAAUAUAUUUCUAUGUUUAUGAAAUUAAUCUAUUUUCUUUUAUUAUUAAUAAGAUUAAUAAAAGAUAUUUAUUUACUCUGGACAAAGUUAAGAUCUCUAAUCUUAGGUUGUUCUAAAAAUUCAAACUUAACUUCACGACCUAAAGUAUUAGUAGUUAUAAUUAGGUUAUCAACGAUAAAAGGAUAAAGUAAAGCUAGGAAAUGGGUUCUUAAAAUAAUAUUCUCUUGAAUGAUUUUAACUAAAAGAAAAGAAGUUUCAUAAUAGAUUUGACCUUUGCAGAUCUUAGUGUUGGAUAACUUAUAAGACACAUGUAAUCUGUUAUCAUUGGCACCUCGUAAGGAUUCUUUGGUUUUCUCGUAAUAUUGGGUUGGGAUUAACCCCUCUUGAAUGCAGUUUAAAUUUACCCCUAAGUCUAUUAAAGGAUUCUAAAUAAAGAAAAUAUUCUAUAGAAAAUUUAACCAUCUCAAUUUUCAAUGUAUUAAAUACGCACAUUUCCAAUUUUUUUUUGUUAUUUUAAGCACUGAACAAAGACUAGCGCCUUUACUCAGUCCACACAAAUAAAGUAUCUUCAAUCUCAGGGCUAUCUACUAUAAAUGAAGACCUUGAGAGAGAGAGAGAGAGAGAGAGAGAGAGAAGAGAGAGAGAGAGAGAGAGGAGAGAGAGAGAGAGAGAGAGAGAGAGAGUACGGAUAUCGGUUUAAUACACGCGAAUUUAUCAACGUGCUGAAAAUUUAUUCUUACAUAAGGGUUCUAUUUAUAGAACUGCUUGUUGGGAUACAACCUGAAAAAACUCACUUAAGUGCACCAUACUUUACGGUAUUAUACAAUUCUCUUAAUUGCACCAUACCUUACAGUGUUAUGUAUUUCUCUUAAGUAAUAUGUAUCUUACGGUGUUUCAUUUUUAACUAUCUAACCAAUCUAUCCUUAUAUAUGUGAUCCCGUAGCUUCUCAUGACGUUGGUAAUUAUACUAAAUCACAUGUUUAAUAUAAUAAAUAAUGAGUGGUAUCUAGCAACACAAAACUGCUACCCAAGUCUUAUAAUAUCAUGUGAUAUGACACAAUCUUUUUGUGAUAAUGCUUGUAUAUAUGAUUACCUAUUUUCCCUCAUGUCUAUAUUGAACUCAAGGCAUAUACCGUAUUACCCUUGUCCAAUUAAAUAUUGGGCUUUUAGACAUAUAACUUGUUAUACACGGUGGAAAAAUUCCAUCUAUGUCACUAAUUUCCCUCAACAUAAUUUAUAGAGUAUCCAUUAACCAUUUUUACGAUCAUCCAGUUACGAAUAACGUUUGAUCAGUAAUAAAGUAUUCGACUACACAUCUAGGAUCCAUAGUGGUUUCAGGUUUUUAUGACACAUGCAUAACAUUUUAUUAAGUACUUUCAUGGUGGCUAAAUUCAGUAUAAAUAUUACUCAUAAUAUUCAUACAUAUGUAAAGACUUCAUAACUCUUUAUCCAUAAUCCAUGAGAUGUAAUCACCAGCCUAUCCAUAUAAUAGUCUCAAUAAUUUAAUGUUAUCCCACAUCACAAUAAAGUUUGACUAUGGAUACUUUAAGAAUAUUGUCCUUAUGUUUAAUGAGAUAUCAUGAUUAAUUAAACUUAAUGUUUUAUUAAAUAAAUUAUAUAUUCUAGGGAGUUUAUUAUUUUUGAAAAGCAAACAUAACAAAGAAACACCUUUUAUUAUUACUAAAUAAUUUUAUACAAGUAGCAAGUUUUAAUAAAACUAUUGGCCUUUAGGGAUUACACCAACAAUCUCCCACUAGCACCAUAGCCAAUCAGGAAUACACCUAUUACCCAUAAAUCUAAUAUGACCACCAUGCUUCUCCUGUGCAAGAGGUUUUCCAGCGGGUUAGUGAAAUUAUCAAUUGUUGGUACUAUGUAUAUCUUUAGAUAUCAUAUAUCUAUUAUCUCUAAAAUGAGGUGAUACCGCCUAAAUAUGUGUUUGAAUCGUUGGUGAGAUCUAGGCUCCUUAGCUUGCGCAAUGUCACCAUUAUUAUUAUAAUAGAUCAAUAGGAUCCAAAAUUCUAAGGAAUAUGCCAAUUCACUAAUGAACAUCUUAAUCCAAACAAUUUUCUUUCUUGCAUUUGAGGCUGCAAUAUACUCGGUCUCGAUUCUAGAAUCAACAUGGGUAUAACAUUUUUAUUCUGAAUGCUGUUAAGGAUGUAAACAAAGGGGAUGUUAUUUGUGACCUACUAUACGUAAGCACAUGCCAAAGGGAUACACUACUCUAAAAAGUACAUACUACGAUGCUCAUUUCACCAUGAUUAUUUGAAGAACUGUUGGGACAUCUUAACAAUCAGGAGCCAUCAUUUUAUUAAAUUUCAAAAUUAAAAAUACUUCAGAUUUACCACAGUUGGAUAAUGCAACCGUGGAAAAAUCUUGUAAAGUUCAAGGGUUUGAACCCCAACGCCAUGAAAUUUGUGAUUCCUUUAAUAUUAUAGUGGCACCAUAAUUUUUGAUUUAUUUUAAAACUAAAUGUGAACUAGAUUUCACCACGGUUGGAUAUUCCAAACGUGGUAAUUGUCGCGUCGUGAAAAAUACCUGAGCGUAUCGCACGCUCAAAAUAUCAAUAAAACCCAAGGGUAAGAUAAAAGGGUAAGGAAGUUGGUUAUACAAGGGGAAGGUAUUAGCAUCCCUCAUAUUCGAUGUACUCACGAGAACCAUUUUGAUUAUUCUUUACGCGGAUAAGUGUUAUUAUCUAAAGGUUACUUUCGAUUGAUUUUAAAUUACGGAAAAAAAUAAAUUUAUAAUUAAUGUGCUCGUCAAGGAUUCGAACCCUCGUGCCUCUGUAUUCUCAUAGUGUGAUGCGAAAAUCUGAGCUUUGUAGUUCGUGGUAGAAAAUAAGUAUUUGUUGAUUGAUUUUAGGGAACAAUUAUAAUCAUAUCAUAGAAGUGUUUCGAUGUUAGCUGAUUCUGAUCUUCGUUCGGACAUUCUAAGCUUUUAGUAUGACUGCUGAGGAACAAAUUAUAACAGUUCUUUUAUGGAAAGAAAGUGUUGUUUUGAAAAGGUUUAUGAAUGAAUUUAAUUGAGAAAGAAUUUGUGGAUGAGUUGGAAAAGAUUUGUGAAAUGGUGAAAUUGUUGUUUAGACCAAGGCAGACAUGCAUGAGAAUGAGGGGUUUUCCUAAGCUGGAGUUUCACAAGGAAAACAUGCACGAAGGGGCUUGCCUAAGCCUGGGUCUCACAAGGCAAGCAUGCAUGAAAAAUGGUUUUAACCAUGAGAAGGUGAUUAACCCAUGAAGGAUGUCUUUAACCAAGAGAAUAUGAUUAACCUCAAGAGUUGUGUAUGGUUCAUAGAUGAGUCUUUAACCUAGAGAAUAUGAUUAACCCAUGAAUGAAGUGAUUAAUCAUGAGAAGGUGAUUAACCUCCAGAGUUGUAUGGGUGUCCAAAGAGUAUAGUGUUUGGUCCAAAGAGAAAAGUGUUGUUGAUGUUGAUUAUUAAAGUGUUUGCAUGAGGAUGAAAGUUUAGAAGUGUUUUGAUUUGAAUUGCACUAAAGUCUAUGAAUGGAGGAGAAUACUUUGAAUAACUGGGUCCUACAUCCCAUAUUCAAAUAUACUCAGAAUAAGGAUAAGAAUGAUCCCUCUCAUUCUUCUUCAUUGCUUAAGGCCCGUGUGUAGCGGUAAAUUUUUUGAUAUUAAGCUAUUUAUUAACUUAACUCACAAAGCAAGAGUCAUCACUGCAUUUUUAUCAUUUCAAAAGGAAAGGGAAAAAGAACGAACAAAACCCAAAGAAGUUUUAAAACAAAACAAAUAAAAAGAGACAAGGGUCCGGGGGUUGGUUAUGCAAAGGGAAGAUAUUAACACCCUAAACAUCUAUAGUAAUCUAUAUGAACCUCUUUGGAAAUCUGUAUAUUUUGGCUUAAAAUGGUGUUGUUUGCAAAAGAUUGGGGAGAUGAGAAGAGAAAUGUUUUUUUUUUAUGAUUUUGUGUUUGCCAAGGCUUUCUGAGUCUCAUGCCUACAUACAAACAAAGUGAAAUGGAGGAUCAAAAACUCAUAGUUUGUGGUAAAAGUAACAAAGUUGUUUAUUUUGAUUCAUUUUUAAUGAAAAAGCAUUUUGUCAUUUUAAGGUGAACACUCAACUAGGCACCCGAAAGUAAGAGAACUUUGCAUCGCCACAGAGAAGGACCUUAACUUGGAUAAAGAUCAACAAGUAUGUCAAUAUCUCUCUUAGGUGGAAAAGAAUUAUCAAUAAUACUACGGGGAUAGGAGAAUUAUAUCUCAAUUAUGGAAAUGACUCAUGUCUACACCUUGAGAAAAAAAGUUUUUAAAAUAAAAAGUGCACAAAGUGCACAAAAUGGUUUGAAUGAGUUAUGCAUUUUUUAGUCUUUUGAAAUUGGUUUUGAAUAUGCUUAAAAUGUCUCAACAUUUAUUAAGAAAAGAUUUUGAAAAUCACUUGACAAAAGUCAAGGUUUAUUAAGAAAGUGGUUCAAGUUUGAAAAUAAGAAGUUUUUUAAAACAAGAGAGAAGAUUUUGAAAUAAAAGAAAGGGAGGAGAAGAAUAGAUUAUCCUAGAACAUAAAGUUAAAUCUAGGGAGGAAAGAUAUAACCAAGAGAUAACAAGCUUGAUGACAUAAGUCAAAGAAGAAUUCUCUCCUUUGGAUUAAACCUCAAGCAAGCCAAAUAAGCAAAGAAUAAUCCAUGUGUUAGAUGAAACCAAGAGAACCAAGCCAAGUCUUCAAAAAAAGCCCAAAGUCAAAGGUACCAGAUGAAUCCCAAGGUCUCAAGUCGCAAACUCCUAAAGUAGGAGUCAAGGUCCUAUUUCUAAGUUCGUAGCUCCACAACAAUGUCAAUGAUAGUAACCUCAAGUCCAUGAAUCAAGGGAACCAAUUUUUAGAGGUUUUUUCCCUUAUUAAUGUCUUUGAAAGAAAAAGAAGUCCAAAUGGACAAAGAACAAAUAGCAUAAGCAAAAACAAUAUGAUAUGAGAUGCUAAAAUAAAAGUAAGUAAAUGGAAAAAAGAAAUAAAGAGCAUAAGAUAAAUGACAUUAAAGUAAAGUUAAUACAAUAAUAUGUUAGUGAGUUGGGUUAGUAAUCAAAAAUGAAAAUACAACUUGUCAUUUUUGGGAGAAUACUCAACUAUUCACCCACAAGUCUGAAAAUAUGUACCUCUACAUCACCAUGAAAAGGACUCCAACUUGGAUAAAAUCAACAAGUAUGCCACUAGCUCUCUUAGGUGAAAAGGAAGCAAUAUUUUUCACACAAUUCCAAGGGGAGUAGGAGACUUACAAUCUCAUUUAUGAAAAUAACUUACUUUCGGGACAAACUUAGCACUAUGUUAAGUAAUCGUAAUUGGAUAUAUGUAGAAGUCACAACUAUCUGAGGCCGAUCAAUAAUAAUGUUUGUGUUAAUACAUGCUAGAUAAAUGAUAUGUAAAUUAUUCUCAUAAAGCUAUACCACACGCAAAAAAGAAAACAAGAUGGGUCGAGCACAAAGGCUAAAAGGAUGUUCCAUUACUUCAAUCCAUACUUCAUGAUACGUAGGACAAACUUAUGCAUCAAUCCAAAGUAUCUUAAAUGAACCAUGAUCGAUUAGGAGGUAUAGUUGAAAUGAUGAAAGUUCAUAAAGCACCAAUCCAAUUGAUCAAAAGGAAAAAAGAGAAAGGGAUGAAGAAGCAGAGGACAAGAGAAACCAAAUCCAAGUUGGAUCAAAGGCUUGAUCAAGUCAUCCUUAAAAUCAAUCUUCCAUUUUGGUGGAUUAGGGUUUUCACCCCAUUAACACCCAAAACCCAUUGAGUUUGAUCAGACCUAUGAUCAAAGUAACUAAAAUCCAAGGCCAACAGAAGUCAACAAAGGUCAAACAAGCAUAAAAUGCAAAAAGAUAAAAUAAAAUACAUCAAAUAUAUUUUUAAAAUGAAUUUUAAAAUGGAGAUAAAAGAGAAAAUCCAUAAAUCCCUUCAAAACACCAAAUAAAUGGCCAAGAAAAUUAUGGAAGGUUGGAAAUAAAAUAAGAGACAUAAAAUAUAUUUUUUAGAACUUUUAAAUGCCUAAAAAUUAUUUUAAACCAAUUAAAACAAAGGAAAAAAUAUGAAAUUCAAGAAAAAUAGAAAAUCAAGAAAAUAAACUGUGAAAAAAUAAAAAUCUGAUAAGAAAAAUAAAAGAGAAUUUUAGAAAUUAUUUUAGGAUUUUGGUUGAUUUUACCUUUGAGAAAAGAAUUUAUGGAGUGGUGCUCUAAGGCACAAAAAUAAGGUUUAAUGAGAUGUAUUAUUUUCACCUUGGAUAAGAGUUUAUGAAAAGAAUUUUCGUGAUUAGAUUGCACUAAAGUUUGUGGGCGGAGGUGAAAAUUCUAGACAAUAAGUCAAGCGUCUUACAUCCAAGAUAAUCAGAGUAACAGUAGGAAUGCUCCAUUCUUACUCAUUCUCCACCAUUUAAGGCUCGUGGCGCACAAUACUAAUCGUAGUUUUAAGUAUUUUGAAACAUAUAAGGUUUAAGCAACCCUAAUCAAUCCAAUAUCAUGACAACCAUAUACUUCAUCAGCCAAUAAGUUCCAGACCUCAUAAGUCAAUGAAAAAAUGCUCAAAUGAUAUGAAACAAAUCAUAAUAAAAUAGUAGAGGCAAAAAUAACAAAGGUGUAUGUUGGGAAUAUUUUAAGAAUAAUAAAAAUGAGUGAGAUAAAAAUAAAAUGAAAUGGGAAAUAUACAGGGUAGAAAAUAAAUGAUAUAAAAGUGAAAGGAAAUAAAAAAAGACAGAAUGCAUGCACUAAGGUUUGAACCCCUGACCUUGGGGUCAUGGGGGAUUCAACCCCCUCUCCCACUGGGCCAACCGCCCACUUGUGGUAAGAAGCGCAUUGAUGAAAUAAAAUAACAAAUCAAAUGCUAAUAAUGAACCUGCACGCAAAUUGGACAAUCAGGAACAACCAACAGAAACAUUUGAAAAUUCAAACGCGAGAAGACUUCGUAUUCUUCCUCGAGACACCUAAAAAUAAAACUCCAAAAAUGUGAGUUUUUCACUGGAUUUAAACAUGGAAAUCACUUGAACACACACAUUCGAAUUAACCUCCACGCUCACGAGCCAUUGAUUAGCUCUAAGUGUGGAGUAUUUUCCAGAAACUCAGAAAAACAAGUUGACCUAAAUUAAAAAUGAAAUGAUGGAUAAUGGUUAAUCAGAACUUAAAACACGGGGUUAAUGAUCAGUGAGUGAUUUUGAGUUGGAUGGUAACUUGAUUGAGCAAAGGGGUGAGUGGAACUACCUGGUCGGAAUCAGUUUCAGAGUGGUGCUCCGAUGAAAGAGGAUAGCUCAUGGGAGGUGUUUGAUGGGUGAGAUAGUGUUUGGAAAAGCUUCAGUGAUGGAUUCUGGGUGGUUAGUUUGAACUAAAAUGUUUUGAAAUUUAGAAAAUGAUUCUCUAUUUUUGAAGGUUCAACUUGGGUUUGUUGCAAAGUGUAUUUGGUUUUCGAAUCUUUGUUAAUUGAUGGAACACCUUCCCCUACUUAUAGGGAAGGUGAUGGAAGUGUUUGGAGGGAAGAAAGAAAUGGUUUGCUUCAGAAAGGUGUGAAGCCCGAAACAUGCUCAAGGUUGAAACUUGUUGGAGAAGUGUGGCUAUGUUUUGACUUGGAUUUCCCCUCCACUCAAUAUAUUUUCAUUCUAUCAUAAAAAAGAGGGACCAAGAGACUUGAAUCAAAGUUGUUAUGGCUUUUGCUUUUUGCCAUUUUGGGAAAAAGUGGCCUUUGACUAUGGUUUCAAUUUGGCUCCAUGUGACCUUUAUCCUCUCCAUUAUUACUUGCAAGUGUGUCUUGGCAUGUUUAGCAACAUGUUUAGAACCAAAUGGGAUUAGAAAAAACAAGUUUAGUGGCCUAAAACAUGAUUAUGCAAAUUUUGGCUGAUGUAUGUCUGGCUUGUUCAUCAAGAUGAUUCCCAACCUUUGAACCAAGGCCAGAAGAAAUUGGCUUGUGCAUUUUGCAUGAAAUUUGUGCCAAAUGUUCCUUGCCAUGUCCUUGAUCAGAUGCAAAAAGAAAUAGCUCAAAAGGAGUUUUGGUUUGAAAAUGGUAAUAUGGUAAAGUGGUGGUCUUGGCCAUGUAUCUAGGCUAGGCAAAUUGAACCAGCUUGGCCAACGCAAAAAUUGAGGUUCUUGCUCAAUGAGUUAGGCCUUGGACCUUGAAAUAAAGUUGGGAGGGACUCAGUUAGGACCUUUUUCUCGAAGUGGAACUUGAAAAGCUUGCAAGAUGAGAGAGUUAUGAACUUUGGAACGUGUCAUAGGUCAUUCUUGCCAAAAUGUGACCAACCAAUAUGACCUAAAAAUGUAUCUUUGAGAUUUAUUGAUUUUAAUGAUGCAAUGAUGGAUGUUUGAAGCUAAUAUGGUGAUAUCAUGAUGUAAGAUGAGGCUUGGAUCUUUGUGGAGUAAUAUUAGGUCAAGUUCAUGGGUAAGAUCAAGGCAUUGAAAGUUCAAAGUUCAUGACCAAACCAAGUACUUGUAACAUGAAUUGAAUGAGUGUUUAAAUGGUGAAUUUUGGUUCUAAUUGACAUGAAUUGAUGUUGAACGAGUGGUGGUAUGAUAGAGUUACCAAAAUGAAGCAAGUUCAAUGAUAAAAGGAUGUCCAUAUUAGGGUUUCUUGAAUCACACGUUUCAUUACGAACCAUGAUCCGACAAAUUAAGGUUUGGUGAUGCAAGGGACAUACUGAGAUGUUUCAAGGGAUUUGGGUAUGGACAAACUUUGGAGUUUAGGGAUCCUCAAUGGCAUGGUCAAGAUUCAUGGUGAACCAUGAUUUGUACAAGCCAAUGAGGGUCAAGAGUUAGGGAUGAGGUCCUUGGGUGACCAGAUCAAUCUUGAUGUGUCUUCAAUGGGGACUCACCAUCCAAUUAGGGUUUUGGAGAGUGAGUGAGAUGUCUUGAAUAAUCCUCCAAGUUUGUGGGGUGCUUCAGGAUAGAGAUUUGGGUUUAGGUGGCUUGGGAACACCUCAAUAUGAUCAUUGAGCCUUGAGGCUUCAUAGAUGAACCCCAAUUCUUUAGUUUGUGGAGCAUUGUGGAUUAUUAAGUACAAAUGCAUAUGAUAUAACAUGUAUGAGAUGUAUGCUCAUGAAUUAGGAUUCAAGAGGGUGAUGUGGAGGUAUGGUAAAUUUGAGGGUAUGACAUCCUCCCCUAUUUAAUCUUCUCGGACCUGAAUGUAUGGAUAAAAACGGUUUCCAAUGCGUUCAAGGCAGGAGAGGAGUAAAUACUAAAAGGAAUUGCCGGAAAUUUGACCUAUUGGUGAUGAAAGUGUUAUGAUUUAUUGGGAAUUAUAUAUGGGAUGGAAAAUGAUCUUAAUAUGAGACCAAUUGUUGGGGAAAGUGAAUAUUGUUAUGAUGAUUAUGCGUGCAAUGUGAUGUAUGCAACAUAAGUAUCCUUUCAAAGAGGAUUGUUGGUGUAAGCCCUAGAGGCCAAUACUUUUGGUACUUGUAUCGAAUUAUUUAUUAAUAAUAAAAGGCAUUUUCUUUAUUAUGGUUGAUUAAUAAAGUCCCUGGAAUAGAUAGUCCGUUUAAUUAGAAAUUCAAGUUUGAAAAUAAAAGUUUUUAAAACAAGAGAAAAUUUUGAAUAAAAGAAAGGGAGGAGAAAAUAGAUUAUCCUAACAUAAAGUAAAUCUAGGAGGAAAGAUAUAACCAAGAGAUAACAAGCUUGAUGACAUAAGUCAAAGAAUAACUCUCCUUUGGAUUAAACUCAAGCAAGCCAAAUAACAAAGAAUAUAUCCAUGUGUUAAUGAAACAGAGAACCAAGCCAAGUCUUCAAAAAAGCCAAAGUCAAGUACCAGAUGAAUCCCAAGUCUCAAGUCGCAAACUCCUAAAGUAGGAGUCAAGGUCCUAUUUCUAAGUUCGUAGUCCCUCAACAAUGUCAAUGAUAGUAACCUCAAGUCCAUGAAUCAAGGAACCAAUUUUUAGAGGUUUUUUCCCUUAUUAAUGUCUUGAAAGAAAAAGAAGUCCAAAUGGACAAAGAACAAAUAGCAUAAGCAAAAACAAUAUUAUAUGAGAUGCUAAAAUAAAGUAAGUAAAUGAAAAAGAAAUAAAGAGCAUAAUAAAUGUACAUAAAGUAAAUUAAUACAAUAAUAUGUUAGUGAGUUGGUAGUAAUCAAAAAAUGAAAAUACAACUGCAUUUUGGGAAAUACUCAACUAUUCACCCACAAGUCUGAAAAUAUGUACCUACAUCACCAUGAAAAGGACCAACUUGGAUAAAUCAACAAGUAUGCCACUAGCUCUCUUAGGUGAAAAGGAAGCAAUAUUUUCACACAAUUCAAGGGAGAGGAGACUUACAAUCUCAUUUAUGAAAAUAAUUACUUCGGACAAACUUAGCACUAUGUAAUUAAUCGAUUGGAAUGUUAGAAGUCACAACUAUCUGACGCGUCAAUAAUAAUGUUUGUUAAUACAUGCCUAAAAUAUGUAAAUUUUCUCAUAAAGCUAUCCACACGCAAAAAAGAAAACAAGAUGGGUCGAGCACAAAGGCUAAAAGGAUGUUCCAUUACUUCAAUCCAUACUCAUGAUACGUAGGACAAACUUAUGCAUCAAUCCAAAUAUCUUAAAUGAACCAUGAUCGAUUAGGAUUAUAUGAAAUGAUGAAAGUUCAUAAGCACCAAUCCAAUAAUCAAAAGGAAAAGAGAAAGGGAUGAAGAACAGAGGACAGAGAAACCAAAUCAAGUUGGAUCAAAGGCUUGAUCAAGUCAUCCUUAAAAUCAAUCUUCCAUUUGUGGUAUUGUUUCACCCCAUUACACCCAAAACCCAUUGAGUUUUAUCAGACCUAUGAUCAAAGUAACUAAAAUCCAAGGCCAACAGAAGUCAACAAAGGUCAAACAAGCAUAAAAUGCAAAAAGAUAAAAUAAAAUACAUCAAAUUAUUUUAAAAUGAAUUUAAAAUGGAGAAAAGAGAAAAUCCAUAAAUCCCUUCAAAACACCAAAAAAUGGCCAAGAAAAUUAUGGAAGGUUGGAAAUAAAAAGAGACAUAAAAUAUUUUUUAGAACUUUUAAAUCCUAAAAAUUAUUUAACCAAUUAAAACAAAGAAAAAAUAUGAAAUCAAGAAAAUAGAAAAUCAAGAAAUAACUGUGAAAAAUAAAAAUCUGAUAAGAAAAAUAAAGAGAAUUUUAGAAAUUAUUUUAGGAUUUUGGUUGAUUUUACUUUGAGAAAAAAUUUAUGGAGUGGUGCUCUAAGGCACAAAAUAAGGUUAAUGAGAUGUAUUAUUUUCACCUGGAUAAGAGUUUAUGAAAAGAUUUCGUGAUUAGAUUGCACUAAAGUUUGUGGCGGAGGUGAAAAUUCUAGACAAUAAGUCAACGUCUUACAUCCAAGAUAAUCAGAAGUAACAGUAGGAAUGCUCCAUUCUUACUCAUUCCACCAUUUAAGCGUCGUCGCACAUACUAAUCUUAUUAAGUAUUUUAAACAUAUAAGUUUAAGCAACCCUAAUCAAUCCAAUAUCAUGACAACCAUAUACUUCAUCAGCCAAUAAGUUCCAGACCUCAUAAGUCAAUUAAAAAAAUGCUCAAAUGAUAUGAAACAAAUCAUAAUAAAAUAAUAGAGGCAAAAAUAACAAAGGUGUAUGUUGGGAAUAUUUUAAGAAUAAUAAAAAUGAGUGAGAUAAAAAUAAAAUGAAAUGGGAAAUAUACAGGGUAGAAAAUAAAUGAUAUAAAAUGAAAGGAAAUAAAAAAAACAGAAGCAUGCACUAAGGUUUGAAACCCUGACCUUUUCAUGGGGAUUCAACCCCCUCUCCCACUGGGCCAACCGCCCACUGUGUAAGAAGCGCUUGAUGAAAUAAAUAACAAAUCAAAUGCUAAUAAUACACCUGCACGCAAAUUGGACAAUCAGGAACAACCAACAAAACAUUUGAAAAUUCAAACCGAGAAGACUUCGUAUUCUUCCUCGAGACACCUAAAAUAAAACUCCAAAAAUGUGAGUUUUUCACUGAUUUAAACAUGGAAAUCACUUGAACACACACAUUCGAAAAACCUCCACGCUCACGAGCCAUUGAUUAGCUCUAAGUGUGGAGUAUUUUCCAGAAACUCAGAAAAACAAGUUGACCUAAAUUAAAAAUGAAAUGAUGGAUAAUGGUUAAUAACUUAAACACGGGGUUCAUGAUCAGUGAUUAUUUGAGUUGGAUGUAACUUGAUUGAGCAAAGGGUGAGUGGAAUACCUGGUCGGAAUCAUUUUCAGAGUGUGCUCCGAUGAAAGAGGAGCUCAUGGAGGUUUGUGGGAGAGAUAGUGUUGGAAAAAGCUUCAGUAGGAUUCUGGGUGUUAGUUUGAACUAAAAUGUUUUGAAAUUUAGAAAAUGAUUCUCUAUUUUUAAGUUCAACUUGGUUUGGGCAAAGUUAUUGUUUUCGAAUCUUUGUUAAUUGAUGGAACACCUUCCCCUACUUAUAGGGAAGUGAUGGAAGUGUUGGAGGGAAGAAAGAAAAUGUUUGCUUCAAAAGUUGAACCCGAAACAUGCUCAAGGGUGAAACUUGGAAAGUGUGCUAUUUUGACUUGGAUUUCCCCUCACUCAAUAUAUUUCAUUUAUCAUAAAAAAGAGGACCAAGGACUUGAAUCAAGUUGUUAUGGCUUUUGCUUUUGCCAUUUUGGAAAAGUGGCCUUUGACUAUGGUUUCAAUUUGGCUCCAUGUGACCUUUAUCCUCUCCAUUAUUACUUGCAAGUGUGUCUUGGCAUUUUAGCAACAUGUUUAUGAACAAAGGGAUUAGAAAAAACAAGUUUAUGGCCUAAAACAUGAUUAUGCAAAUUUUGGCUGAUGUAUGUCUGGCUUGUUCAUCAAGAUAUUCCCAACCUUUGAACCAAGGCCAGAAGAAAAUUGGCUUGGCUUUUGCAUGAAAUUUGUGCCAAAUUCCUUGCCAUGUCCUGAUCAGAUGCAAAAAGAAAUAGCUCAAAAGGUUUUGGUUUUGAAAAUGUUAAUAUGGUAAAGUGGUGGUCUUGGCAUGUAUCUAGGCUAGGCAAAUUGAACCAGCUUGGCCAACGCAAAAAUUGAGUUCUUGCUCAAUGAGUUAGCUUGGACCUUGAAAUAAAGUUGGGAGGACUCAGUUAGGACCUUUUUCCGAAGUGGAACUUGAAAAGCUUGCAAGAUGAGAGAGUUAUGAACUUUGAACGUUCAUAGUCAUUCUUGCCAAAAUGUGACCAACCAAUAUGACCUAAAAAUGUGAUCUUUGAGAUUUAUUGAUUUUAAUGAUGCAAUGAUGGAUGUUUGAAGCUAAAGUGAUAUCAUGAUGUAAGAUGAGAGCUUGGAUCUUUGUGGAGUAAUAUUAGGUCAAUUCAGGGUAAGAUCAAGGCAUUGAAAGUCAAAGUUCAUGACCAAACCAAGUACUUGUAACAUGAAUUGAAUGAGUGUUAAAUGUGAAUUUUGGUUCUAAUUGACAUGAAUUGAUGUUGAACGAGUGUGUAUGAUAGAGUUACCCAAAUGAGCAAGUUCAAUGAUAAAAGGAUGUCCAUAUUAGGGUUUCUUGAAUCACACGUUUCAUUACAACCAUGAUCCGACAAAAUUAAUUUGGUGAUGCAAGGACAUACUGAGAUGUUUCAAGGGAUUUGGGUAUGGACAAACUUGGGAUUUAGGAUCCUCAAUGGCAUGGCAAGAUCAUGGUGAACCAUUAUUUGUACAAGCCAAUGAGGUCAAGAGUUAGGGAUGAGGUCCUGGGUGACCAGAUCAAUCUUGAUGUGUCUUCAAUGGGACUCACCAUCCAAUUAGGUUUUGAGAGUGAGUGAGAUGCUUGAAAAUCCUCCAAGUUUGUGGGGUGCUUCAGGAUAGAGAUUUGGUUUGUGCUGGGAACACCCAAUAUGAUCAUGAGCCUUGAGGCUUCAUAGAUGAACCCCAAUUCUUUAGUUUGUGGAGCAUUGUGGAUUAUUAAGUACAAAUCAUAUGAUAUAACAUGUAUGAGAUGUAUGCUCAUAAUUAGGAUUCAAGAGGUGAUGUGGAGGUAUGGUAAAUUUGAGGGUAUGACAUCCUCCCUAUUAAUCUUCUCGACCUGAAUGUAUGGAUAAAAACUCCAAUCGUUCAAGCAGGAGAGAGUAAAUACUAAAGGAAUUGCGGAAAUUUGACCUAUUUGGUGAUGAAAGUUUAUGAUUUAUUGGGAAUUAUAUAUGGGAUGGAAAAUGAUCUUAAUAUGAGGACCAAUUGUUGGGGAAAGUGAAUAUUGUUAUGAUGAUUAUGCGUGCAAUGUGAUGUAUGCAACAUAAUAUCCCUUUCAAAGGAUUGUGGUGUAAGCCCUAGGCCAAUACUUUUGUACUUGUAUCGAAUAUUUAUUAAUAAUAAAAGGCAUUUUCUUUAUUAGGUUAUAAUUAAAGUCCUGGAUAAUAGUACCUUUAAUGUGAUAAGUGUGACUUAAUCAUGAACACAUAAACAUAAGGACACUAUUCUUAAGUAUUCGUAGUCGAGCUUUAGGUAAGUGGGAUAACAUUAAAGCAUUAAGACUAUUUAUGUUUGUAGACUGAUGAUCACAUCUCAUGGAUCAUGGAUAAGAUUAUCAAGUCUUAAACAUAGGUAUGAAUAUUAAGAGUAAUAAUUAUACCGGAUUACCCGCUAUGAGAAAUACUAUAUAGAAAGUUAUGCAAAGUGUCAUAAGUUAUUCUCAUGAUAUAAUAUUUACCACUCUUCGACCUAAAACCACUAUGGAUCCUAAUGUAGAGUCGAGUGCUUUAUUGCUGAUCCACAUUGUCCUUAACUGGAUAACCAUAAAGACAGUUGAUGGGUACUCCAAAGCAUGCUGAGGACAUGAUGUCCUAGAUGGAAUUUGCCAAUCCUGCGUAACAGAUAAAGGUCUAUGGGCCCAAUAUUGAACUGGACAAGGAACACGGUAUACUUGUGUUCAAUAUAGACAUAAGGGCAAAGGUAAUUAUGCACACAAUAUUAUCACAGAGGUUUGUCAGAUCACAUGACAUUGUCUGUCGGUAGCGAGAUGUGUUGCUAGAUACGCUCACGUUUAUUAUGUUAAAGUGAUUUAAUAUAAUUCCAACGUCGCGAAAACCUACAGGGCGCACACAAAGGACGGAUUGAUGAAAAUAGAGUAAUUAAGGAACACCGUAAGUCACACUUAAGUAGAAUACGAAGUAUGUAAUGUACCAAAUACUUAAGUGAUUUUGGCAUAUUAUGAGAUAUGGGCCAAAAUACACUUAAGUGGGCUUUUUGGCUUGAAGCCCACACAAGUGGUUCUCUAAAUGAACUCUGUGAAAGCAUUGUAAGGGAUACAACACAACUGAAAGAGUUGGAAUUUCGUACUCUCUUUCUCUCACUCAAAGCCUUCAUUUCGACCAGCUAGCCUGAGAUUGAAGAAUCCAUUCGGGGACUGAGUAGACGGUCAUCGUUCGACGUUCGUAUCACUCCUGGAUCUGUANUUCGUGAUCGCCCCGUGGAUCUGUAUCAAAGGUUUUGAUCAUUAUCAGAGAUCUGCACCAAAGGUUUGAAUCGCCACAAGAGGUAACGAUUCUAUCACUGAUCAUGCCCAUUCAUAAGGAUCACUAAAUGGAGAAAAUUUUAAAUUCCGCUGUGCCUUGGAUGGCAAUUCUCCUUCAGUGGUAUCAGAGCCAUUUAUGAAACCAUGAAUCGUUCGACGUUCGUGAUCACUCCGUGGAUGGCAAUUCUCUCUUUUAAUCUCUUAAUGUAACUUCUUUUCUCAUAUGACUCCCUCGUAUGUAAAACGAGUUUCUUUUAUGUAAUGUAAUGAUAUGAAGAAAGCAAAGAAGUCAGUGCCAAAGGAGUACAACCUUGAAGAUCUUGCUUGGAGAAGCUUAGAUCGUUGUUAGGUUAGCUUAGGUUCUCUCAUUGGUUUGGGAGAACAAUUGCGCUAAGGGCCAUAACUGUUUCAUUAUGUAUGUAUGUUGAUGCAUAUGAAUGUAUGUUGAUGCAUGUGAGAGGCGAUUUAUAUGAUAAAUAAGCCGGUGAGAUCAGAAAAAUUCCAAUUCCCUCAAAUUAAAUAUUAAGUUUAUGCUUUCCAAGUUUUAAUACUCAUCAAGACUAGUAUCGAAUAAUGUAGGUUUCGCCUACGCGAGGUGCAUGUUCUAUAUUAGUAAGGUGCGAUGGGAUAAUUUGUAAUAAUCAACUGUUGUUAAAGCAAAUGGUCAAACUUAACUAAACAAAUUAUAAUAAGCAUAUAUAUCAUGUUAGAAGGUCAGAGUUGGAAUCGAUCCAUAUAUUCACUGGAUUGGAAUAAAGGAGUUAUUCACCCAACUGAAAUUUUUCAAGAGUUGUAUGAGAUUUACAAUUGGAAGGGAGUUCCUACCUACAAUAACCUAGUUUUGUGUAAUCCGCCUACGCAGGACUUAGAACGAAGUGAAAUCAUGGAUUCUCGACCCACUAGAAAUCUUCAACGGGAUUUUCCGAAUCAAAUUAUUGAGGGUCAUUUGGUUUUGAGUAAAAUGUGGGAGCAUGUUUUAAUUAAAGGACCUAAUUAAAUAUUUGGCAAUGAAUACUUAUACUUUUCAGUUAAUCCUUGUGUAGAUUACCAUGACGAGGCAAACCACCUGCUAAACACAUCGUUGCGGAUCAAUCCUUGGUUAAGGAAAAAUUGUCUGGGACAAAUUUUCUGGAUUGGCACCGAAACCUGAGGAUUAUCCUCACACAUUGAUAAAAGCUGUAUGUCUUUGGAACACCUGUUUCCUGAAGAGGAACCUCCUUAGUUCUGCACCUAAGGCAGAAAAGAGAUGCUUAAAGAAAGCACUGUCGAUGAUUGCCAAUGAAACUGCUUGUCUCAUGCUAGCUACCAUGAACUCGGAAUUGCAAAAGCAACAUGAGAACAUGGUCAGCGCUUCAUAUGAUCGAACACCUGAAAAGCUCUAUCAAAGAGGCAAGCAAGGCACUGGGAGUUUAAAGGUUUCAAAAGGCCCCUUUCAAGGCAAGUUAGCUGGAGCCUUGUAGGUCCCCAUGUUUGUCAAGAAUUUGAUUGGGGAGUGGAAAACCUGAGAGAUUGGGUCCCUCGAAAAGGGAACUUGCGACUGAUUUAUGAUCUUGCAGCCGUUGCCAGAUAGUUUCAGUCAAUUUGUCCUAAAUUUUCAAUCAUGAUUUGAUAUGGACAAAUCUCUUCCUGAUACUGCUCGCCAUGUAAGAACUGCGAGUAGAAAUCUGGAAGUCAAAAGGGAAGUCCAUUCUGAAUAUCGGAAAUGGAAAGACAGAACAAAAGGCCCACUAAGCAGGGUGAUAAAGGGAAGGCAAGGACAAACUCCCUCNNNNNNNNNNNNNNNNNNNNNNNNNNNNNNNNNNNNNNNNNNNNNNNNNNNNNNNNNNNNNNNNNNNNNNNNNNNNNNNNNNNNNNNNNNNNNNNNNNNNNNNNNNNNNNNNNNNNNNNNNNNNNNNNNNNNNNNNNNNNNNNNNNNNNNNNNNNNNNNNNNNNNNNNNNNNNNNNNNNNNNNNNNNNNNNNNNNNNNNNNNNNNNNNNNNNNNNNNNNNNNNNNNNNNNNNNNNNNNNNNNNNNNNNNNNNNNNNNNNNNNNNNNNNNNNNNNNNNNNNNNNNNNNNNNNNNNNNNNNNNNNNNNNNNNNNNNNNNNNNNNNNNNNNNNNNNNNNNNNNNNNNNNNNNNNNNNNNNNNNNNNNNNNNNNNNNNNNNNNNNNNNNNNNNNNNNNNNNNNNNNNNNNNNNNNNNNNNNNNNNNNNNNNNNNNNNNNNNNNNNNNNNNNNNNNNNNNNNNNNNNNNNNNNNNNNNNNNNNNNNNNNNNNNNNNNNNNNNNNNNNNNNNNNNNNNNNNNNNNNNNNNNNNNNNNNNNNNNNNNNNNNNNNNNNNNNNNNNNNNNNNNNNNNNNNNNNNNNNNNNNNNNNNNNNNNNNNNNNNNNNNNNNNNNNNNNNNNNNNNNNNNNNNNNNNNNNNNNNNNNNNNNNNNNNNNNNNNNNNNNNNNNNNNNNNNNNNNNNNNNNNNNNNNNNNNNNNNNNNNNNNNNNNNNNNNNNNNNNNNNNNNNNNNNNNNNNNNNNNNNNNNNNNNNNNNNNNNNNNNNNNNNNNNNNNNNNNNNNNNNNNNNNNNNNNNNNNNNNNNNNNNNNNNNNNNNNNNNNNNNNNNNNNNNNNNNNNNNNNNNNNNNNNNNNNNNNNNNNNNNNNNNNNNNNNNNNNNNNNNNNNNNNNNNNNNNNNNNNNNNNNNNNNNNNNNNNNNNNNNNNNNNNNNNNNNNNNNNNNNNNNNNNNNNNNNNNNNNNNNNNNNNNNNNNNNNNNNNNNNNNNNNNNNNNNNNNNNNNNNNNNNNNNNNNNNNNNNNNNNNNNNNNNNNNNNNNNNNNNNNNNNNNNNNNNNNNNNNNNNNNNNNNNNNNNNNNNNNNNNNNNNNNNNNNNNNNNNNNNNNNNNNNNNNNNNNNNNNNNNNNNNNNNNNNNNNNNNNNNNNNNNNNNNNNNNNNNNNNNNNNNNNNNNNNNNNNNNNNNNNNNNNNNNNNNNNNNNNNNNNNNNNNNNNNNNNNNNNNNNNNNNNNNNNNNNNNNNNNNNNNNNNNNNNNNNNNNNNNNNNNNNNNNNNNNNNNNNNNNNNNNNNNNNNNNNNNNNNNNNNNNNNNNNNNNNNNNNNNNNNNNNNNNNNNNNNNNNNNNNNNNNNNNNNNNNNNNNNNNNNNNNNNNNNNNNNNNNNNNNNNNNNNNNNNNNNNNNNNNNNNNNNNNNNNNNNNNNNNNNNNNNNNNNNNNNNNNNNNNNNNNNNNNNNNNNNNNNNNNNNNNNNNNNNNNNNNNNNNNNNNNNNNNNNNNNNNNNNNNNNNNNNNNNNNNNNNNNNNNNNNNNNNNNNNNNNNNNNNNNNNNNNNNNNNNNNNNNNNNNNNNNNNNNNNNNNNNNNNNNNNNNNNNNNNNNNNNNNNNNNNNNNNNNNNNNNNNNNNNNNNNNNNNNNNNNNNNNNNNNNNNNNNNNNNNNNNNNNNNNNNNNNNNNNNNNNNNNNNNNNNNNNNNNNNNNNNNNNNNNNNNNNNNNNNNNNNNNNNNNNNNNNNNNNNNNNNNNNNNNNNNNNNNNNNNNNNNNNNNNNNNNNNNNNNNNNNNNNNNNNNNNNNNNNNNNNNNNNNNNNNNNNNNNNNNNNNNNNNNNNNNNNNNNNNNNNNNNNNNNNNNNNNNNNNNNNNNNNNNNNNNNNNNNNNNNNNNNNNNNNNNNNNNNNNNNNNNNNNNNNNNNNNNNNNNNNNNNNNNNNNNNNNNNNNNNNNNNNNNNNNNNNNNNNNNNNNNNNNNNNNNNNNNNNNNNNNNNNNNNNNNNNNNNNNNNCAGUGGGAGGAAAGUAGAGCUUGAAGAAAUUCAAGAAUCACAAAGCAUCGAUACACCUAUGGAGGAAUUAGAGCAGGAAACACAAGUAGUUGUGUAAGAGCAACCUGCUCAAGUAGAACAAGACCAGCGUAGGUCAGGCAGGAUACGUCACCUACCUGAGAUAUAUGGAUAUCUGAUCAAGGUGAUGUAUUACUCAUGGAUUCAUCAAAAACAAAGAUGAGCCUUGUGUCUACAAGAAGGUUAGUGGGAGCAUGAUCGUUUUCCUGAUGUUAUAUGUAGAUGACAUAUUACUCAUUGGAAACAAUGUCCCUACCUUGCAACGAGUAAAGUCUUGGUUGGGGAAAUGCUUUUCUAUGAAGGACCUAGGUGAAGCAUCCUAUAUAUUAGGAAUCAGAAUCUAUAUAGAUAGAUCACAAAAUGCUUGGCCUAAGUCAGGGUACAUAGACAAAGUGCUGAGACGCUUUAAUAUGGAUGAUUCCAAUGGUUAUGUGUUUUGCUUAAAUGGUGGCGCUGUGAGCUUGAAAAGUUCAAAGCAAGAUACAGUUACUGAUUCUACAACCGAGGCCGAGUAUAUUGCUGCCUCAAGUGCAGCAAAGGAAGUUGUUUGGAUCAGAAGUUCCUUAGUGAACUUGACAUAGUUCCUAGUAUAGUGGAUCCCAUUGCUCUCUAUUAUGAUAACAAUGGUGCUAUCGCACAAGCUAGGGAACCUAGAUCUCACCAACGAUCCAAACACAUACUUAUGCGUUAUCAUCUCAUUCGAGAGAUAAUGGAUAGAGGAGAUAUGAAAAUAUGUAGAGUACCUACACUUGACAAUAUUGCUGACCCACUAACAAAGCCUCUUGCGCAGCAGAAGCAUGAUGGCCAUACUAGAUCAAUGGGCAUAAGGGGUAUGCCUGAUUGGCUCUAGUGCUAGUGGGAGAUUGUUGGUGUAAGCCCUAGAGGCCAAUACUUUUGGUACUUGUAUCGAAUUAUUUAUUAAUAAUAAAAGGCAUUUUCUUUAUUAUGGUUGAUUAAUAAAGUCCCUGGAAUAGAUAGUCCGUUUAAUGUAUUAAGUGUGACUUAAUCAUGAGAACACAUUAAACAUAAGGACACUAUUCUUAAAGUAUCCGUAGUCGAGCUUUAAUGUGAAGUGGGAUAACAUUAAAGCAUUAAGACUAUUAUGUUUGUAGACUGAUGAUCACAUCUCAUGGAUCAUGGAUAAAGAGUUAUCAAGUCUUAAACAUAGGUAUGAAUAUUAGGAGUAAUAUUUAUACCGGAUUGACCCGCUAUGAGAAUACUAUAUAGAAAGUUAUGCAAAGUGUCAUAAGUUAUUCUCAUGGUGAUAAUAGUGUAUACCACUCUUCGACCUGAAACCACUAUGGAUCCUAGAUGUAGAGUCGAGUGCUUUAUUGCUGAUCCAACGUUGUCCGUAACUGGAUAACCAUAAAGACAGUUGAUGGGUACUCCACGAAGCAUGCUGAGGGACAUGAGUGUCCUAGAUGGAAUUUGCCAAUCCUGCGUAACAGGAUAAAUGUCUAUGGGCCCAAUAUUGAACUGGACAAGGGUGACACGGUCUAUACCUUGUGUUCAAUAUAGACAUAAGGGCAAAGGGGUAAUUAUACACAUAAUUAUUAUCACAGGAGGUUUUGUCAGAUCACAUGACAUUUUCGUGACUUGGGUAGCAGUGAUGUGUUGCUAGAUACCGCUCACUGUUUAUUAUGUUAAAUGCGUGAUUUAAUAUAAUUGCCAACGUCGCGAAAACCUAUAGGGUCACACACAAAGGACGGAUUGAUGAGAGAUAGAAUAAUUAAGGAACAUCGUAAGGUACGGUGUACUUAAGUAGAAUACGAAAUAUGGUAAGGUACCAAAUACUUAAGUGAUUUUGGCAUAUUAUGAGAUAUGGGCCAAAAUGCACUUAAGUGGGCUUUUUGGCUUGAAGCCCACACAAGUGGUUCUAUAAAUAGAACUCUUGUGCAGAAGCUUUGUAUGGGAAUACAACACAACUGAAGAGUUGGAAUUUCGUAUCUCUCUUUCUCUCACUCAAAGCCUUCAUUCACAAACAGCUAGCACUGCGAUUGAAGGAAUCCGUUCGUGUGGACUGAGUAGAGACGUUGUCAUCGUUCAACGUUCGUGAUCACUCCGUGGAUCUGUAUCAAAGGUUUUGAUCAUUAUCAGAGAUCUGCACCAAAGGUUUGAAUCGCCACAAGAGGUAACGAUUCUAUCACUCAUCAUGUCCAUUCGUAAGGAUCACUAAAUGGAGAAAUUUUUAAAUUCCGCUGCGCCUUGGAUGGCAAUUCUCCUUCAAAAGUUUGGUGCUAAAACUCCAAGAAGAAGUGUAGGGAAGAAACUCCGCUAAGGAAUGAUAAUUUUGGAAAAAGAAAAGGGUGACUCCCCCUAGCAAUGGUUGGGGAGAAAAAUAAUGGUGAUUCCUAGCAAGGGAUAAAACACCUAACUAUGAUGGGAAACUCCAGGCUCAUCGAUAAUUUCUAGCGACAAAUGAAAUUCUUGACUUUGUGGGGGAAAAAGAGGUUUAGUGAUGAUUCAUAGCAACAACUAGAAAUACCUGACUCUGUUUGGAGAUAAUUUAAGAGGGUACAACGACGAUUCUUAGAAGUGGCUAGAAUACCCGACUCUGGUGAGGAAACAGGAAGUUCAACGAUGAUUCCUAGCAACGACUGGAAUACCCAAAAUCUGUUGAGGAGAUCAAACAGUUUAGUGACGAUUCCUUACAAAGGUUGGAAUACCUGAGUUUAUCUGAGGGGGAUUAAAAGUUCAGUGAUGAUUCUUAGCAACAACUAGAAUACUUGACUUAGUUAGGAAACAUAACAGAUCAUUCACGAUUCCUUAUAAAGAUUGGAAUACCUGACUUAUGUUGGGGAAAGAAGUUCAAAGAUAAUUCUUAGCUACGGCUAUGAAUAUAUGACUCAGCUGGGGAACAAGCUUAAAGACAUCUUUUUCCCGGAAAAAAGAAAGUUCAAUGACGAUUCUUAGUGAAGGCUAAGAAUACUUGACUUUGGUUGGAGAUAAAUGAAAGUAUAGUGAUGAUUUUCAGCAACGGUUGGAAUAUCUGACUUUGUAGAGGAGAGAAGAAGUUCAACGAUGAUUCUUUAGCAAUGGAUAAAAUACCUAAUUCUUCUAGGGAUAACUUGAGAGGAAACAAAGUAGUUCAAUGACGAUUCCUAGCAAUGACUGGAAUACCUGACUCUACUUGGGGAGAAAUAUUGGGAAUGAAUGUCGACUUUACUGGGGAAAAUCCCUAACAAUGGAUGGGAAGCUCCGAAGUUUGACGAAUCAUUCUUUAUUACAAUCGAGGUGUAAAUUUUAGAAGAUACUUAUGAUUCAAUGCUAUGUAUGCAAAAUGCCAAUGUAUGUUCGGGUUUUUGGGGAUAUGCAAAUGCAAGGUUUCCGGGUUAUGUCAAGUAUGAUUGGGCUCUGCGGGGGGAUAAUUUGUUUGGUGUGCCAAUGAUGAUUGAGCUUAGAAUUUGCUUGGGGAGAAUUGACUGACUUCCCGAUAUCGGAACCUGGAACUUUGGAUGUCCAAGUUAUGACAAGCGCAAUAGCUGAGGAUUUCUACUAAGGAGAAACUCUGAUUAGGCCAAAUCCGAAGGACUUUAUGGCAUUAUGGUGUUGAGGUAUACCGAGGAUGUUUUUCGGUUACCUUUAGAUACUUUUGAACGAGAAAUAAUUCAAUUUUUUCCCUUAAAUUUUUUUUUUAUCAAAAGUCGUUUACCAAAAAAAUUUCCAAUGCGAUGUCAAUUUAAGAAAAGUCACAUUUCACAAACAAAGCAGGAAAAGUAAAAAAAUUAAGCACAUAUGAUGGACUUGAUUUUAUUGAUAAAAUGGUCUCAUAAGUGGGUGAUUUGGACAAAUAAGUAAUUCCUAAAAGAGGUGAUUGCAAUAAGAAAUUGAAAAACUAUAAUGGCAAUGAAAUAACUCGGAUUUCCACCAAGUUCAAAUUCUAUUAUAGUCCUCAUGUCCUUGGCUGUCCUUAGGUCUUACUUUAGAAGGAAAAUGAUUGGAUUGACUUGUCAAGGAGUGUAGAAAUAUUCUUUGUUGGAUGCAACCUCUUGCUUUGAUAAAUCCAUAAUUUUUACCUAGACCUCCCUCUCGGGUUUUCAAUCUACCAGGAUACCCAUUUUUGCAUAAGUCGCCAUUUUGGGUUUUCAACUUAUCAGGCUCUUUUUUUUGUUACGUGUAAUAUUUUUUGAAUGCAUCUGCAUUCACAGGGGAUGAAAGAUCUUCACCAUCCAUAAUUGAAAGUAUUAAGGCUCCUCUAGAGAAGACCUUUCUUACACGUAUGGGCCUUCGUAGUUCGGUGUCCAUUUGCCCCUUGGGUCAGUAUGAAUCGGUAGAAUCUUCUUCAAGACUAGAUCUUCGGCCUUGAGGCUGCAGGGGAAGACCUUCUUGUCAUGGGACUUUUUGAUGCACCUUUGGUAUAGCUGGCCAUGGCAGAUGGCCUCCAAGCAUUUUUCACCAAUGAGGUUUAGUUGGUCAAAUCAGACUUGCACCCACUCGGCUUCAUCAAGCUUGACAUCGGUCAAAACCCUUAAGUAAGGAAUCUCUACUUUAACAGACAAGACUACAUCCAUGCCAUACACUAGAGAGAAGGGGGUUGCCUCAGUGGAGGUACGUAUGGAGGUACGAUAGCCAUGUAAUAUGAUUGGGAGCAUUUCAUGUCAAUCUUUAUAGGUUUCCACCAUUUUCUGCACGAUAUUCGUAAUAUUCUUGUUAGCAGCCUCAACAACGCCAUUCAUCUUGGGCCUAUAAGGAGAUGAGUUGUGGUGUUCGAGUUUGAAGCUUUGGCACAACACUUUCAUCAUUUUGUUAUUGAGGUUAGAUCCAUUAUCAAUAAUGAUCUUGUUGGGGACCCCAUAAUGACGAACGAUUUAUUUCCUUAUGAAUUGAGCCACCACUUGUCUUGUCACAUUGGCGUAGGAGACCGCUCCCACCCAUUUAGUGAAAUAAUCUAUGGCUACCAAGAUGAAGUGAUGUCCGUUCGAGGCAGUUGGCUUAAUACGUCUAAUCACGUCAAUACCCCACAUGGAGAAAGGCCAAGGUGAUGUUAGGACAUUGAGUGACAUUGGGGGUGCAUGGAUCUUAUCAGCGUAGAUUUGGAACUUGGGACAUGUUUGGACGUGGAUGUAACAGUCAACCUCCAUGGUCAUCCAAUAAUAACCGGUCGUCAAUAUUUUCUUCACCAUGGUGUGUCCACUGGCAUGUGUCCCAAAGGAGCCUUCAUGGAUUUCCGUUAUAAUCCAGUUUGCUUCGCUUUUGUCUACACAUCCAAGCAAGACCAAAUCAUAAAUCCUUUUGUAUAAAACCCACCAACUAAAGAAUAACUUGGAUGAUAGCUUCCGAAGGUACUUCUUGUCGGUAAUGGAUGCGUUCUCAGGGUACGCUUUAUUUUCCAAGAACUUCAUGAUGUCAUAGAACCAAGGAUGGCCAUAAUCUUCGUCUUCGACUGUUAAAUAGUGGGUUAGCUCGUCCAAGUAGUCGAUGUGGAAAGUUGGUGCUUCAUUUUUCCAUUUGACCUUAAACAUGGAUGACAAAGUUGCUAAGGCGUCGGCCAACUGAUUUUCCUCUAUGGGCAUGUGGUUGAAUGUAAUCUCGUCAAAGUAUGGGGUCACCUUUAGGAUAUUCUCCUUGUAAGGAAUGAGCUUGUGAUAUCGAUCUUCCCAAUCUCCUUUGACUUGGCUGAUGACCAAGGCUGAAUCUCCGUAGACUUCAAGAAUUUUGAUCCUAAGAUCAAUCGCAGCUUCAAUGCCAAAGAUACAAGCCUCAUACUCUGCCAUAUUGUUGGUACAUUCAAAGCACAACCAUGUAGUGAAGGGUAAGUGAAAUCCAGUUUGAGAGGUGAUGAAUGCCCCAAUGCCAUUGCCAUGAGCGUUAGAAGCUCCAUCAAAUACCAGAGUCCACUGAGAUCCAGGUUUGGUCUUUCCUCAAGGUCGGGUAUGUUGCAAUCCCUUAUCAGCAUGAUGUCCUCGUUAGGGAACUCAAAGCGCAUAGACCAGUUGUCCUCCAAAGGUUGAUGUGUGAGAUAGUCUGACAGUACACUCCCUUUGAUAGCUUUUUGAGUGACAUGUUAGAUGUCGUACUCGGUUAAAGCCAUUUACCAACGAGCUACUCUAUCGGUUAGAGCAGGCUUCUCGAAGAUGUACUUGACUGGGUCCAUCUUGGAGAUUAAAAGCGUUGUAUGGGUGAGCAUAUAUUUCCUUAGACGUUUGGCAGCCCAAACAAGUUCACAUCAGGUCUUCUCAAGCAUUGGAUAUCUACUCUCGCAAUCGACAAACUUCUUGCUUAAGUAACAUAUGACAUGUUCUUUCCUAUCAGUCUAGUAUCAUUGGCCGAGGAUACAUCCCAUAGAUCCUUCAAGGAUGGUAAGGUACAUGAUUAAAGGUCUUCUAGGCACAUGAGGCAUCAAGAUAAGAGGUUCUUGUAAAUACUCCUUGAUCUUCUCGAAAGAAUUUUGGCAAUUAUCGUUCCAAAUGAUGGCUUGAUCCUUUCGAAGUAGUUUGAAGAUUGGCUCACAAGUGGCCGUAAGGUGAGAUAUGAAUAUAGCUAUGUAGUUUAAUCUGCCUAGGAAUCCUCAGACUUCCUUCUAAGUUUUGGGUGCAGGCAUAGCUUGUAUGGCCUUUACUUUUUCAGGAUCCGCCUCAAUGACACGUUGGCUAAUGAUAAAACCUAACAGUUUUCCAGAUCUUACCCCAAACGUGCAUUUAUUGGGAUUAAGCCUCAACUUUGAUUUCCUUAUCCUCUCAAAGAGCUUCUCAAGGUUAUCCAGAUGCUCCUCUUUGGUUUGUGAUUUGGUGAUCAUAUCAUCAAUAUAAACCUCGAUCUCUCUAUGAAUCAUGUCAUGAAAGAGUGUGAUCAUGGCUCAUUGGUAAGUUUCACCUGCAUUCUUUAAUUGGAAGGGCAUAACCUUGUAUUAUAAAGUACCAUAUGGGGUUAUGAAAGUAGUCUUCUCUAUGUCCUCUGGAGCCAUUCUGAUUUGGUUGUAACCGGAGAAGCCAUCCAUGAAGGAGAAAACAGAUAAUUGAGCGGCAUUGUCCCCUAGCACAUCAAUGUGGGGUAGUGGAAAGUUGUCUUUGGGACUUUCUCUAUUCAAAUCUCUGUAAUCUAUACAUAUACGUAUUUUUUAUCCUUUUUAGGCACAGAGACAAUAUUGGCAAUCCACUGAGGAUAAUUGGAAACUGCUAGGAAACCUGCACUGAGCUGUUUUUAUACUUCCUCCUUGAUCUUCAUAGCCAUGUCAGGACAAACCCUUCUUAGAUUUUGCUUCACGGGAGGACAAUCCUCCUUGAGGAGUAGGCGAUGGACCAUGAUGUCAGUAUCGAGGCUUGGCUUGUCUUGGUAAGACCAUGCAAACACAUCCAUGUAGUCUUGUAAGAGUUUGACCAACUUCGCCUUUACUUCUUCUUGUAGAACUGAGCUUACUCUGACCUCUUUAGCUUCCUCUUUCGUACCAAGCUUGACCACUUUUACUGAUUCCUUGUGUGAUUGGAUGACCUUCAACUCUUGCUUGAUUAGUCAUGCUAACUCUUUGGGGAUCUCACAAUCUUCAUCACUGUUCUUGUCAGUGUGAUUGAUUGGAUUGUCGACAUCAUGUGGGACCAUAGCAGAGUCAUUAUUGGUGGUAGUCAAGGGUAAUCUGUACGAUUUAGGGUUCAUGCCUUUAUUUGUAUGAAAGGAUAAAAAUUUAUUUGAAAAACUUAUAGGAAAAAGAAAAACCUUGCCAUUUUUUUGAUUAAGUGAAAAGAUAAAAUAAAUGAAAGACAAGGAUCAGAAAUUUGGAUGUGAAACAUGAUAAUUUUCAUUUAAUUGAUAAAAAAGGAAAUUUGACAAAAGCCCUACAAAUGAUUCCCCCAUGUCUUGGGCACGACAAAGGUUCUUUGUCUUUUUUAAGGGAAAACAAAAACAGGGAAAUUACUUCUCCAACAUCAUGACUUCGGGUAACUCAAACACAAUCCAUCUGGUCAAUCUUUUUCCUUCAAUCUUCUUAUAGAUCAACCCUUCCUCUUCAACUACGACAUUCUCUUCCAGAGCAUAAAUGUGUCCAUCCACGAGGUGUCCGACACUUGAGAAGAAAUCUGACAAGGGGAGCACUUGCUCCUCUACAGUAAUCGACGCUUGUUUCCUUAAGUUUUAGGAGUUGUAUCCCAAUCCGGCACGAUCCUUGUUGACUAGAAAUUCUAGCAUCCUUUCCCAACCUUUGGGGUGUCCAUUCUUGAUGAUAGUUUGAGCAUCUUUCAAAGAGGCCAUCAGAAAUUCAACAGUUUUUACUUCCCCAAUAGGGCCAACCAUUUCAACAUUAACAACCUCAAAUGACUGAAAUGGGAUUUCCUGUACCUUUUCCCCUUCUUCCACAUAUCGGAAUGAUGCCAAGUGGCUAACCAUAAUAUUUUCUUCGCCAUCCAUAACCACUAGCUUGUUGCUGACCAAGAACUUAAACCUUUGAUGGAGUGUUAAAGUAACAAAUUCGGUCGAAUGUAUCCAUGGCCGUCCAAGCAAACAACUGUAGGCUGGAUAUAUGUCCAUUACGAAGAAAGUAUGGGGACCGAUCAUGAUAGGGAGAUCCAUCUCACCGAUUACUGUUCACCUUGACCCAUCAAACGCCAUCACUAGUCCCUCAAUAGUCAAUUUGAAAAGAGAACUCUUUGGAAGCACAUUGAGAGACGAGUCGGUAUCCAUUAAGACCCUUGACAACAUAGUGUCUACAUAUUCAAUGGAGAUGUGUAAGGCCUUGUUAUGGUUCCUUCCUUCGGAGGGGAGCUCUUUAUCACUGAAACCCAGACUCAUGUUGGUAGUUAUAUUAUUGACAACUCCCUCAAAUUGGAAAACAGAAAUCUCUUGCGACACGUGGGCAGCUUUCAGGAACUUGACCAAGGCGUCACGAUGUACCUCAGAGCACAUGAGCAAAUGCAACAUUGAGAUUUUGGACAAAGUUUGGUUGAGUUUUUCAACCACCCUAUAGUCACUUCUCCUAAUGAUGCUCAAGAAUUCAUGUACCUUAUUGGUAGGGAGAGAAUCUUGCCUUUGUUGGGCGUUCUCGAUUUGUUUGCCAUUUUCCUGGGAUGAAGGGAGACUAUUGUCAAUUGGGGGAGAUGUGGGAGAAAAGAUUCUUCCGCUUCGGGUGACCCCACCGGUACCGGCUAUACUCACUAUUAGUUCAUCAGAUGUCAUGGGCUCUUCUUGCAUUUUUUAUCCAUGGAUAUGGACUGCGGAGUCAUAUACCCAUGGAACUGCUUUCUUGUUGUUGAAGGGAAAUGAUGUUGGAAUUGUUAUCACCAUGUGAGUAAUGGGACUUGUAGAGAGAGACAUUGGAGAGAUAUCAUAUGGUAUCUGCAUAGGUAAAACUUCAUCAUAUGGGAUAUCUAGGGUGGACAAUUCUUUAAUCUUGGAUGGAUGGUCUAUCACAAAGAUCCAUUGGUCCAUUAACUUCUGUAUGGUAGACUUCAAAAUUUUGCAUUGCUGCAGGUUAAUCAGACAAUGUUUAGAAGUUAUGCUACAAAUAAGAAAUGCAUUAUUUUUAUUUAACAUGUCCUUUAUCUCAAUGAGUGGGGUUUUUAGCUCGUCCACACCAGACAAAAAUCUCCUUCCAUUUUCCAACUCUACCACGUUCACAUUUGGCUUGUUGUAGGGAGGAAUUGGGUUAUCGUUUACAUUUGGGCCGUUAGGCGCAAACAUAAUUGCCUUAGAAUUGAUCAGAUAUUGCACCUUAUAUUUUAAGGCUUUAUAAUUCUCGAUUUAAUGACCGGUAGUCCCCGAGUGGAACUCACAUCAGGGAUUGAUAUCAUAACUGGGAGAAAGGACCGUUGGGGGUGGCCCUAACUCCCUUAACUGUACUAAUGAUCCUCGCAACAAGUAUGGUAGAAUAUGACUGUAUGCCAUUGGGACCAGAUCAAACCUUCUCUCGGGACGCCUGGGUCGUUGUUGCUGAUGUUGCUGAUAAGGUCGUCGUUGUUGUGAUAUUUUUUUGUUGUUGUUCGAUUGGCACUACAAAGGCCACUUGCUGAUAUGAGACACAAUAUGUCGGGGAUUUUGCUCUGAUCAAUGUGGUUGCAUUUGUUUCUCCUUCCUUUUUCUUUCCAUACGCGACAAAGGGUUUCUUUACAACAUCGGAGGUGCUUACAGAAUUCUGGAUCUUCCCCCUCUUUAUCAUAUUUUCAAUUCUUUCGCCCGCCAAAACCAAGUCGGAAGAUCCAGACAAUGUACGCCCUUCCAUCCUAUCUAAGUAUGGGCCUUGUAGAUUGCCCAUGAACAUAUCCACCAAUAAACAUUCUAGUAAAGGAGGUUAUACUCUAGCCGCAAGCUCUCUCCACCGUUAAGCGUAUUCCUUAAAAGUCUCUUCGGACUUUUGCGUCAAGUUUUGCAACUGCGUGCAAUUGGGCGCCAUAUUUGUAUUAUACUGAUAAUACCUAAGGAAUGCUUCAGCCAUCUCCCUCCAUGUGCGGGUGUUGGUACCUUCUAGUUGCAUGUACCAAUCCAAAGAUGAUCCAUUCAACGAAUCUUGAAAGAAAUGCAUGAGGAGUCGGGCGUCAUAAGAAUAAGUGGCCAUUUUACGAUAGUAGGCUUGGAUGUGAGUUCUUGGAUCACUGGCUCCUUCAUAUUUUUCAAAGUCAAGGACCUUGAAUCUAGCUGGGAUAACCAUAUCAAGAACUAAACACAUCUCGACAACAUCGAGACCCAAAGUGUAGGUACUUUCCAUUACCUUCAGUUUCUCUUCAAUGGAUUUAACCUUCUUCUCCACCUCGUUGGCAGGAGAACCAAAGGCUUCAUACAUGGAGGCAGCCCUUGGGCUGAAGAAAGCAUAUUGCUGGUCGUCUGUUUCAAUAAGAGUAGGAUUGAGAACAACAAAAGGGACACCUCCAGGUGCACCCACUAGAAUAUGAACUAGAGUGUUGUUUUGAGGAUGAGGCACUGGAUUUUCCAUGACAGGAGGAUUAGGAGGGGGAUUGGCAGCGUGAGCUCGCUGGUUCUUCUCUUCUUGUAUUCUGGCCAUCAUUUCCUAGCCACGAGUGAUGACUUGGAUCGUUUCCAUUAGUUGUUCCAUUUGAGCUCUUACUUGGGAUACCUCUUCGCGGAGUGCGGCUUGAUUCUGUUCUACCUGGUCCAUUACUGCUUGUUGGUGUCAGCGCAUAUUGUAAUGGUGUCGGGAAGUCAGUUUGUAGCGUCGAUUUUUGAUCAAGAAAGGGUGAAUGAUGGAUUUUUUCGUUUUUGUGUUUGAAAAUGCAAAUGAUGCAUAAAUCUUUUUUUGUUUUGUUAAUGCAAAAAACUUUAGUUAUUCAUGUUGUUUUAUUGCAAGGAAAUACUUAACAAUUUACGUUUGCAAUCAAGAAUAAAGGAAAGCACACAUAGUGAAUCACAAAAGCUUCAUUUAUCCUUUAAAGGGAAUCAUAUAAAUACAAAUACAUGGAAAUUUAAAAAUACAAGUGGUUGAGACAAAUAAGCAAACUAAAUGUCAAUCCUAAAAGUGAUCCCUUGAGACUUACGGAGGGCAUCAAUGUCGGUGAUGAGUUCUGCCAUUAUCUUCUUGCAGAACUUCACGAAAUGGUAGACAUCUUUAGGGGUGUUUUCAAGGCACAUGAUUAAAUCAACCUCCUUCAACUUAUCGGGAAAUUCUUGGAGGGCAUAAUUAGUCAGCACUGCCAUGUCAUCAUAUUUAUCUCUCCACUCGUUAUAGAGGGUUUAGAGGUUAUGGAUGACUCCAUCCUUUGAGCAAUUGAAGCUUCAGCUCCAUGGCAUCUCUCCUCCCAAUAUCUGCAAUCAUUUUGCAACUCCAUGUACGCUUGAUCGUAGAUUUCCAUCUUCAUAUUCUUGAUUUUCUCACAAGCUCGUCCAAGGUUGAACUACUCGUGCAAGAAGCCUUAAUGGACUCUCUCUCUUAGAGAGAGAGAGAGAGAGAGAGAGAGAAGCUGUUCCUUAGUCAAGAGACCCUUAGACUCCUUUAGAGUGGUACUAAGCUCGAGGAUUUAGGCUUCGUAACCCUCCCUAGCCUCUUUCUUCAUAGCAUUAGACCUCUCAAUGGUCUUCUCAAGGUCCCUAAUGGUUCGGCAUACUUGAUCCAACUUGUCAUUGCGAGCGUCUAGCUCAGAAUUGGCUCCUAGUAGAGCACCACCAUCCCAAACUCUUUGGCCUUAGACUUCCCUUAGCCUCUUCUUGUUGACCGCGAACUUCUCACAAACUUGCUUACCCUUGUCUUCAAAGAUAUGGUUACGUUCCUUGGCACAAUUGAGUUGGACUCGUAAUGUAGUGUUUUCCAACUCAAGCUCUUGUAUUUUUUCGGUAAGCUUGUCCAUGUAUUCUUACAAUAUAGGCUCGGGUUCGAGCACCAACAUAAAUGAUGAAGGGUUAUAAAGGAAAGGCAUCUUGACAACCCUAGCUCUCUCUUUUACCCACACAAAGUAGGUUUCCUUAGCUAUGAUGUUCUUCUUGCCCCACUCUUGGCAAAUCUAGAUUAUGCAUGUCUUAGCUCUUUGCACUCUUUCCACGACUGAAUCGAGUAGAUCUAUGAUAUUGAUGAUGAAAGAUAUGAGGUAUCGAUCCUCGGGAGGAAUCAACAUGGCGUAUCCCAAAUGUCUCUUGAGUAGCGCGGGGUUGUAAUUGAUACAACCAUGUGUUCCUAUUAAAGGGACAUUCGAGAACCCUCCACAUCUUGCAAUGACAUCCUUUGUUUCCCAUUCACUCUUAUACCAAAGAAUUUAACUAGCGGAGAGAGACGUGAACUUUUGGGGCCAUGACAGAUUGCUAUAAGAAAAGGGUCCACGUUGAGGCAUACGAGCCCUCAUCCACAAGUGUAACAAUGGAGUGCAAUAGAGAAAGGUCACACCUUUCUUCUCAUGGCUUGUAUGGAAGGUAUGAUAGAAGUCGGCAAGCAAAAAAGGCACUGGGUUAUUGGUUAGGAAGACUUACAUUGCCAAAUGAUCCACAAAUUUGUCUAUAUUUGAAAAUAGGAUAAUUCCAUGUAUCAAGAGUGCUAGAGUUGCGCUAUAUAAAUCUGGCCUUUCUUCUUUAAUCAUCUUUCAAGCACGGGCUUCGAGGAAUUUAUGAGUUAAACCCUUGACGGUACCUUUAGAUCCCUAAUUAGCCACUAGUUCAUUGGCAUUGAUACCCAAGAUGGUAGAGAUUUCAGACAAGCAAAAUCCUUCUUCCAACUUGGGGAAGGGGUUAUAUUCCUUUAUCCAUCGGUUGAAAAGUCUCUCAAUGUCUUCUAGAGUUGGGGAAAUUUGAAAUUCUAUGAAGGUGAAGCAUCUUAGAGGGACGUCAUAAUAUUGAGCCAAUAUAGUGAUUGCACCAUAGUCAACCUUCUCUAUCAGGAGGUCUACUAUGUUACCAAAGGUAACUCUGAAUUUGUUGUCCCUGAGGGAUGUUACUCUAGAGCAAAGGAACUU